GAUUUCUGGUUCGGCGCACUUGGCCCGUCUCGGUUUACGGGAUUGUGUGCCGGUGUGCGCCAUCCAUCCUUCGAGAGAACACUUCUGCCCUUCACUGGGUUGGUGGUGCUAUCUCGAUCUUUUACUUUGAAAAAAUUAGAGUGUUUAAAGCAGGCUUGCGCUAUGAAUACAUUAGCAUGGAAUAAUAAUUUAGGACUUUGGUCUUAUUUUGUUGGUUUCUAGGACUAAAGUAAUGAUUGAUAGGGACAGUUGGGGGUGCUAGUAUUCAGCGGCCAGAGGUGAAAUUCUUGGAUUCGCUGAAGACUAACUUAUGCGAAAGCAUU
rnacentral:rRNA from 1 species